UACGUAGGUGGCGAGCGUUAUCCGGAAUGAUUGGGCGUAAAGGGUGCGUAGGCGGCCUGCUAAGUCUGGAGUGAAAGGUACCGGCUCAACCGGUACAGGCUCUGGAAACUGGCGGGCUAGAGAGCAGGAGAGGGCGGUGGAACUCCAUGUGUAGCGGUAAAAUGCGUAGAUAUUAGGAGGAACACCGGCGGCGAAGGCGGCCUGCUGGACCGUAACUGACGUUGAGGCUCGAAAGCGUGGGGAGCAAACAGG
rnacentral:rRNA from 1 species